CGAAUGGCUCAUUAAAUCAGUUAUCGUUUAUUUGAUAGUACCUUACUACAUGGAUACCUGUGGUAAUUCUAGAGCUAAUACAUGCUAAAAACCCCGACUUCAGGAAGGGGUGUAUUUAUUAGAUAAAAAACCAACGCCCUUCGGGGCUCCUUGGUGAAUCAUAAUAACUUAACGAAUCGCAUGGCCUUGCGCCGGCGAUGGUUCAUUCAAAUUUCUGCCCUAUCAACUUUCGAUGGUAGGAUAGUGGCCUACCAUGGUGGCAACGGGUAACGGGGAAUUAGGGUUCGAUUCCGGAGAGGGAGCCUGAGAAACGGCUACCACAUCCAAGGAAGGCAGCAGGCGCGCAAAUUACCCAAUCCCGAUACGGGGAGGUAGUGACAAUAAAUACUGAUACGGGGCUCUUUUGGGUCUCGUAAUUGGAAUGAGAACAAUUUAAAUCCCUUAACGAGGAACAAUUGGAGGGCAAGUCUGGUGCCAGCAGCCGCGGUAAUUCCAGCUCCAAUAGCGUAUAUUAAAGUUGUUGCAGUUAAAAAGCUCGUAGUUGAACCUUGGGCCUGGCUGGCCGGUCCGCCUCACCGCGAGUACUGGUCCGGCUGGGCCUUUCCUUCUGGGGAACCUCAUGGCCUUCACUGGCUGUGGGGGGAACCAGGACUUUUACUGUGAAAAAAUUAGAGUGUUCAAAGCAGGCCUUUGCUCGAAUACAUUAGCAUGGAAUAAUAGAAUAGGACGUGUGGUUCUAUUUUGUUGGUUUCUAGGACCGCCGUAAUGAUUAAUAGGGAUAGUCGGGGGCGUCAGUAUUCAGCUGUCAGAGGUGAAAUUCUUGGAUUUGCUGAAGACUAACUACUGCGAAAGCAUUCGCCAAGGAUGUUUUCAUUAAUCAGGGAACGAAAGUUAGGGGAUCGAAGACGAUCAGAUACCGUCGUAGUCUUAACCAUAAACUAUGCCGACUAGGGAUCGGACGGGAUUCUAUAAUGACCCGUUCGGCACCUUACGAGAAAUCAAA
rnacentral:rRNA from 1 species